rnacentral:rRNA from 3 species
GUUGUGAGGUUAAGCGACUAAGCGUACACGGUGGAUGCCCUGGCAGUCAGAGGCGAUGAAGGACGUGCUAAUCUGCGAUAAGCGUCGGUAAGGUGAUAUGAACCGUUAUAACCGGCGAUUUCCGAAUGGGGAAACCCAGUGUGAUUCGUCACACUAUCAUUAACUGAAUCCAUAGGUUAAUGAGGCGAACCGGGGGAACUGAAACAUCUAAGUACCCCGAGGAAAAGAAAUCAACCGAGAUUCCCCCAGUAGCGGCGAGCGAACGGGGAGCAGCCCAGAGCCUGAAUCAGUGUGUGUGUUAGUGGAAGCGUCUGGAAAGGCGUGCGAUACAGGGUGACAGCCCCGUACACAAAAAUGCACAUACUGUGAGCUCGAUGAGUAGGGCGGGACACGUGGUAUCCUGUCUGAAUAUGGGGGGACCAUCCUCCAAGGCUAAAUACUCCUGACUGACCGAUAGUGAACCAGUACCGUGAGGGAAAGGCGAAAAGAACCCCGGCGAGGGGAGUGAAAAAGAACCUGAAACCGUGUACGUACAAGCAGUGGGAGCACGCUUAGGCGUGUGACUGCGUACCUUUUGUAUAAUGGGUCAGCGACUUAUAUUCUGUAGCAAGGUUAACCGAAUAGGGGAGCCGAAGGGAAACCGAGUCUUAACUGGGCGUUAAGUUGCAGGGUAUAGACCCGAAACCCGGUGAUCUAGCCAUGGGCAGGUUGAAGGUUGGGUAACACUAACUGGAGGACCGAACCGACUAAUGUUGAAAAAUUAGCGGAUGACUUGUGGCUGGGGGUGAAAGGCCAAUCAAACCGGGAGAUAGCUGGUUCUCCCCGAAAGCUAUUUAGGUAGCGCCUCGUGAAUUCAUCUCCGGGGGUAGAGCACUGUUUCGGCAAGGGGGUCAUCCCGACUUACCAACCCGAUGCAAACUGCGAAUACCGGAGAAUGUUAUUACGGGAGACACACGGCGGGUGCUAACGUCCGUCGUGAAGAGGGAAACAACCCAGACCGCCAGCUAAGGUCCCAAAGUCAUGGUUAAGUGGGAAACGAUGUGGGAAGGCCCAGACAGCCAGGAUGUUGGCUUAGAAGCAGCCAUCAUUUAAAGAAAGCGUAAUAGCUCACUGGUCGAGUCGGCCUGCGCGGAAGAUGUAACGGGGCUAAACCAUGCACCGAAGCUGCGGCAGCGACGCUUAUGCGUUGUUGGGUAGGGGAGCGUUCUGUAAGCCUGUGAAGGUGUGCUGUGAGGUAUGCUGGAGGUAUCAGAAGUGCGAAUGCUGACAUAAGUAACGAUAAAGCGGGUGAAAAGCCCGCUCGCCGGAAGACCAAGGGUUCCUGUCCAACGUUAAUCGGGGCAGGGUGAGUCGACCCCUAAGGCGAGGCCGAAAGGCGUAGUCGAUGGGAAACAGGUUAAUAUUCCUGUACUUGGUGUUACUGCGAAGGGGGGACGGAGAAGGCUAUGUUGGCCGGGCGACGGUUGUCCCGGUUUAAGCGUGUAGGCUGGUUUUCCAGGCAAAUCCGGAAAAUCAAGGCCGAGGCGUGAUGACGAGGCACUACGGUGCUGAAGCAACAAAUGCCCUGCUUCCAGGAAAAGCCUCUAAGCAUCAGGUAACAUCAAAUCGUACCCCAAACCGACACAGGUGGUCAGGUAGAGAAUACCAAGGCGCUUGAGAGAACUCGGGUGAAGGAACUAGGCAAAAUGGUGCCGUAACUUCGGGAGAAGGCACGCUGAUACGUAGGUGAAGCGACUUGCUCGUGGAGCUGAAAUCAGUCGAAGAUACCAGCUGGCUGCAACUGUUUAUUAAAAACACAGCACUGUGCAAACACGAAAGUGGACGUAUACGGUGUGACGCCUGCCCGGUGCCGGAAGGUUAAUUGAUGGGGUUAGCGCAAGCGAAGCUCUUGAUCGAAGCCCCGGUAAACGGCGGCCGUAACUAUAACGGUCCUAAGGUAGCGAAAUUCCUUGUCGGGUAAGUUCCGACCUGCACGAAUGGCGUAAUGAUGGCCAGGCUGUCUCCACCCGAGACUCAGUGAAAUUGAACUCGCUGUGAAGAUGCAGUGUACCCGCGGCAAGACGGAAAGACCCCGUGAACCUUUACUAUAGCUUGACACUGAACAUUGAGCCUUGAUGUGUAGGAUAGGUGGGAGGCUUUGAAGUGUGGACGCCAGUCUGCAUGGAGCCGACCUUGAAAUACCACCCUUUAAUGUUUGAUGUUCUAACGUGGACCCGUGAUCCGGGUUGCGGACAGUGUCUGGUGGGUAGUUUGACUGGGGCGGUCUCCUCCUAAAGAGUAACGGAGGAGCACGAAGGUUGGCUAAUCCUGGUCGGACAUCAGGAGGUUAGUGCAAUGGCAUAAGCCAGCUUGACUGCGAGCGUGACGGCGCGAGCAGGUGCGAAAGCAGGUCAUAGUGAUCCGGUGGUUCUGAAUGGAAGGGCCAUCGCUCAACGGAUAAAAGGUACUCCGGGGAUAACAGGCUGAUACCGCCCAAGAGUUCAUAUCGACGGCGGUGUUUGGCACCUCGAUGUCGGCUCAUCACAUCCUGGGGCUGAAGUAGGUCCCAAGGGUAUGGCUGUUCGCCAUUUAAAGUGGUACGCGAGCUGGGUUUAGAACGUCGUGAGACAGUUCGGUCCCUAUCUGCCGUGGGCGCUGGAGAACUGAGGGGGGCUGCUC